UACGAAGGGGGCUAGCGUUGCUCGGAAUGACUGGGCGUAAAGGGCGCGUAGGCGGAUGGUCCAGUCAGAUGUGAAAUUCCUGGGCUUAACCUGGGGGCUGCAUUUGAUACGUGUUGUCUAGAGUGAGGAAGAGGGUCGUGGAAUUCCCAGUGUAGAGGUGAAAUUCGUAGAUAUUGGGAAGAACACCGGUGGCGAAGGCGGCGACCUGGUCCUUUACUGACGCUGAGGCGCGAAAGCGUGGGGAGCAAACAGG
rnacentral:rRNA from 1 species